AUGCAAACUUCACAAAAUGAUGAAGUAGAGACGGUCCAUCUUCAGGAAACCACAGUUGCGAAUGUUGGAAAUGUAGUCACGGAAGAAGUUUUGGAAUCCUCCGAUAUCACAGAAAAACCGUUUAAAGUGGAUGUACUUAUCUCAAAUAGUAACCAAGCCGAGGUCACGUCACAUGUUGAAGAGAAUGUAGUUUCUUCAUUUGCCACUCCAGAAAUUAUCCAUGACUACUCUGAUACCUCAUCUAACUCUGGAAAGGAACCGGAGUCAGUGAACGUAGAUAAUUAUCAACAACCAUCUUAUGACACGCAGUCACCCAGUGAAUCUGCAACGACGCAGUCAAGUAUCCUUCUCACUGAAAUUUCUGAGUCAGCACAUCCACCCGAACAAGAUAUUGCGCUAGUCCAAAAUACGCCAACCAAAGACAUUCAAACCAAUGACCAGAAGCCAACAGGUACAACAGAAGCUGCUGAGACUCAAACUGAAGUAGUGACAGAGUUGGAAUCUGGAGAUGUGUAUAUACCUGAACAACAGGUGGGUGCUUUAACAGACGAAACUGUGAACACUUCUGGUGGUGAAAAUGCCGAAAAUGGCAACCUGAUUCCCCCAAUAGGACAAGCCGAUUCUCAGCCCUCCGUCAAUGUUGAGACUGCACCAAGUCAUUCUGCUGUUCCUCCUGAAGCUAUUCCUCCCCCAAUCCAUCAGGAUGAUGUUGAAUCACAUACAGAGAAUAUCGAAUAUCCAUCUCAUAUUUCUGAUUUUGGAUCUAAAGUUCCUGCGGAGACUGCGACGGAAGCAGUCUAUACAACAAAUCAACCUCAUGAUCAGUCAAACAUUGUAGUUGCUCAAGACCAAUCUGAACUUUCGUAUGAUUCUGAGGCAACUCCAGCCGAUCCAAACCAAACUUUUGUUCCUUCCUUACAACAAGCAGUCUCUUCAUAUGAUGUUAACCACGAAGGCUCAACUCAAGCAUCACCAAUGAGUGAAAUUAUUUUCCACGAUGAUAAAGAAAAUAUAUUAAAACCAGAAAGUGAUUCGUCAAUUUAUAUACCAUCAGAUUUCCAAGGAAGUGAAAAUAGCAUUUCCGAGGCAAAUCCAAUUUCACAAUCAAAUGCUCAAGAAAAUAACGAGAUCCACUCCUCGCCGAAUGCUGACUCAUCUGACAGCCAAACGAUCGUAACUCAAACUCUGUCACCUGAAAGUUCUCAAGAUCACUUGCAUUCCGAUGGAAGCAAUGAAACUGCAGAUAAAGAAACACAUACAGAAACUUACACUUCAGACAAACAUGAAAUUAACGAACAACAUCCACCGAUGAUAAAUGAAGCUGUGAUUGCGGGUGAUGAUGUUCCCUCCUACCCCUCAAAACCUUUGCUUGACACACAGUUAGACUCAGAGUCAAGUGAUCCUAUCACAAGCGGAAUAAAUGAGGAAAAUGUGGCCCAUGACACAAGUUCAGGGAUUGACCAACCUUAUUUACAACCAUCAACGGAGGAGCCAAAUAAACCAUCGAGUGAGUCAGAAUCCUAUGAUAUUGGUUCAGAAACAGAAUCUACUGUUGCUCCUUUAGGCGUGCCCGGUGAAAAUGUGGCUGGUGCCAGUGGCAAGCCCGUCCCAGUGAAAGACGCGGAAGUCAUUGAAGGUGAAUCGGUGGCAACUUUGCACGAUCCCACAGCUGCACCUGAAAUGAGUCAUUCGUCAAAACCAGAAAUUUUACAUCAAGAAUCUAACGAUGAAGUGAUUCCACAAUCGCAAUCUACAGAUGCAUUAAUAAAUGUUCAAAGGACCACUGUAAUGCCAGUAGUAGACGAUAUACCAUCGGGAGUCACGGAUGAAAUUGAAACAAAUAAUGGAGCCUCGCCAAAUUCCGCACAGCCUGUUAAUGAAAUCGCACAAGAGUUGUAUGAUCAUACAACAAACAUAGGAGUUGUCGAGUCGGAUAAAAUACAAGAGGCAAUUUCACCACCUCAAGAGUCAUCAGCAGAUUCAGUAGAGCCACAAGAAAAUGUAACACCGUCUAAUGCAAAUGACGCCUCAGAUUCUACGGAAGCACCAUCCCAAACGAUCAAUGAUGUUCCGUCCAUUCAACAGGGUGAAGUUUUGCAAACCGUCGACGAACAUUCCCCUGAAACACCCCUUGUAGCUAAUGGUAUGCCAUCAUCUCCUACAAAUGAAGAAGUUAAACCCUAUUUGACUGAGAGUGAUCCCGUGACCCACGGAACACUCAUUAAUUCAGAGACGCUUGGAAUAAACGUUGAUGAACAUAUUUCGCAAUCAACCGAAAAAGUUCCAAGUCAGGAUAGUAUUCCUUCUACAUCGCAAGAGGGUACCGGAGCACAAUUUUAG
rnacentral:lncRNA from 1 species